UACGGAGGGUGCAAGCGUUAUCCGGAAUCAUUGGGUUUAAAGGGUCCGCAGGCGGAUUUAUAAGUCAGUGGUGAAAGCCUAUUGCUCAACAAUGGAACUGCCAUUGAUACUGUAAGUCUUGAAUUCGGUCGAAGUGGGCGGAAUAUGACAUGUAGCGGUGAAAUGCUUAGAUAUGUCAUAGAACACCGAUAGCGAAGGCAGCUCACUAGGCCUGGAUUGACGCUCAGGGACGAAAGCGUGGGGAGCAAACAGG
rnacentral:rRNA from 1 species